CGAGUUGGCCCGGCAGUCCCGAGCUCCAUGUCGGGUUCUUCUAGCGUCGCCGCCAUGAAGAAGGUGGUCCAGCAGCUCCAGCUGGAGGCCGAGCUCAACCGCGUGAAGGUUUCCCAGGCAGCUGCAGACUUGAAACAGUUCUGUCUGCAGAAUGCUCAACAUGACCCUCUGCUGACUGGAGUGUCUUCAAGUACAAAUCCCUUCAGACCCCAGAAAGUCUGCUCCUUUUUGUAGUCAUCUAUCUUGAGGUUUCUCAAACCACUUUUCAUGAACCAGUGACUAUUCAAGAGAACUAAAUUUGAAGUCUGUACAAAAGUUUCUCUUUAGCAC